UCCAGUACUGAAUCCAUAGGUGCUGGAGGCAAACGCGGGGAACUGAAACAUCUAAGUACCCGUAGGAACAGAAAUCAAUUGAGAUUCCGUCAGUAGCGGCGAGCGAACGCGGAUUAGCCCUUAAGCUGGUGACUGAUUAGGAGAACGGUCUGGGAAGGCCGACCAUAGUGGGUGAUAGUCCCGUAUCCGAAAAUCUGAUCCAGUGAAAUCGAGUAGGUCGGAGCACGUGAAACUUUGACUGAAUGUGGGGGGACCAUCCUCCAAGGCUAAAUACUCCUGGCUGACCGAUAGUGAACCAGUACCGUGAGGGAAAGGCGAAAAGAACCCCGGAGAGGGGAGUGAAAUAGAACCUGAAACCGUGUACGUACAAGCAGUCGGAGCCUCCUUGUGGGGUGACGGCGUACCUUUUGUAUAAUGGGUCAGCGACUUAAUUUCAGUAGCGAGGUUAACCGUUUAGGGGAGCCGUAGGGAAACCGAGUCUUAAUAGGGCGUUUAGUUGCUGGGAUUAGACCCGAAACCGGGCGAUCUAUCCAUGGGCAGGUUGAAGAUGCGGUAACACGCAUUGGAGGACCGAACCGACUACCGUUGAAAAGUUAGCGGAUGACCUGUGGAUCGGAGUGAAAGGCUAAUCAAGCUCGGAGAUAGCUGGUUCUCCCCGAAAGCUAUUUAGGUAGCGCCUCGGACGAAUACCACUGGGGGUAGAGCACUGUUUCGGCUAGGGGGUCAUCCCGACUUACCAACCCGAUGCAAACUCCGAAUACCAGUGAGUACUAUCCGGGAGACACACGGCGGGUGCUAACGUCCGUCGUGAAGAGGGAAACAACCCAGACCGCCAGCUAAGGUCCCCAAAUUCCAGUUAAGUGGGAAACGAUGUGGGAAGGCUCAGACAGCUAGGAGGUUGGCUUAGAAGCAGCCACCCUUUAAAGAAAGCGUAAUAGCUCACUAGUCGAGUCGGCCUGCGCGGAAGAUGUAACGGGGCUCAAACUGGAUACCGAAGCUGCGGCAGCAGACUUGUUCUGCUGGGUAGGGGAGCGUUCUGUAAGUCAGUGAAGGUGUGUCGAGAGGCAUGCUGGAGAUAUCAGAAGUGCGAAUGCUGACGUGAGUAACGAUAAUGGGGGUGAAAAACCUCCACGCCGAAAGACCAAGGUUUCCUGCGCAACGCUAAUCGGCGCAGGGUGAGUCGGCCCCUAAGGCGAGGCAGAAAUGCGUAGCUGAUGGGAAACAGGCUAAUAUUCCUGUACUUCUUAUAACUGCGAUGGAGAGACGGAGAAGGCUAUGCCUACCGGGCGUUGGUUGUCCCGGGGAAAGGCCGUAGGCUGAGAACUUAGGCAAAUCCGGGUUCUUAAGGCUGAGAGUCGAGACCACUGGUCCUUUGAGACCGGGAAGUGGUUGAUGCCAUGCUUCCAGGAAAAUCUUCUAAGCUUCAGGUUAUAAGGAACCGUACCCCAAACCGACACAGGUGGUUGGGAUGAGUAUUCUAAGGCGCUUGAGAGAACUCGGGUGAAGGAACUAGGCAAAAUUGUACCGUAACUUCGGGAGAAGGUACGCCGCUGACGGUGACGAGACUUGCUCUCUGAGCUAUUGGCGGUCGCAGUGAAAAGGCCCCUGCAACUGUUUAUUAAAAACACAGCACUCUGCAAACGCGUAAGCGGACGUAUAGGGUGUGACGCCUGCCCGGUGCCGGAAGGUUAAUUGAUGGGGUUAGCUUCGGCGAAGCUCUUGAUCGAAGCCCCGGUAAACGGCGGCCGUAACUAUAACGGUCCUAAGGUAGCGAAAUUCCUUGUCGGGUAAGUUCCGACCUGCACGAAUGGCGUAAUGAUGGGGGCGCUGUCUCCACCCGAGACUCAGUGAAAUCGAAAUCGCAGUGAAGAUGCUGUGUACCCGCGGCUAGACGGAAAGACCCCGUGAACCUUUACUACAGCUUCACAGUGGACUUUGAGCCUGCUUGUGUAGGAUAGCUGGGAGACUUUGAAGCAGUGACGCCAGUCAUUGUGGAGUCGUCCUUGAAAUACCAGCCUGGCAUGUUUGAGGUUCUAACCUAGGCCCGUUAUCCGGGUCGGGGACAUUGUGUGGUGGGUAGUUUGACUGGGGCGGUCUCCUCCCAAAGAGUAACGGAGGAGCACAAAGGUACCCUCAGCACGGUCGGACAUCGUGCAACGAGCGUAAAGGUAGAAGGGUGCUUGACUGCGAGACCUACAAGUCGAGCAGGUGCGAAAGCAGGUCUUAGUGAUCCGGUGGUUCUGUAUGGAAGGGCCAUCGCUCAACGGAUAAAAGGUACUCCGGGGAUAACAGGCUGAUACCGCCCAAGAGUUCAUAUCGACGGCGGUGUUU
rnacentral:rRNA from 1 species